rnacentral:rRNA from 1 species
CUUCUGGGAAAGAUUCAUCGGUAUGGGAUGGGGUCGCGUCCUAUCAUCCUUGAUGGCGGGGUAACGGCCCACCAUGGNUUCGACGGGUAGCCGGCCUGAGAGGGCGACCGGCCACAUUGGGACUGAGAUACGGCCCAGACUCCUACGGGAGGCAGCAGUGGGGAAUAUUGCACAAUGGGCGCAAGCCUGAUGCANCGACGCCGCGUGCGGGAUGACGCCCUUCGNGUUGUAAACCGCUUUUGACUGGGAGCAAGCCCUUCGGGGUGAGUGUACCUUUCGAAUAAGCACCGGCUAACUACAUGCCAGCAGCCGCGGUAAUACGUAGGGUGCAAGCGUUAUCCGGAAUUAUUGGGCGUAAAGGGCUCGUAGGCGGUUCGUCGCGUCCGGUGUGAAAGUCCAUCGCUUAACGGUGGAUCCGCGCCGGGUACGGGCGGGCUUGAGUGCGGUAGGGGAGACUGGAAUUCCCGGUGUAACGGUGGAAUGUGUAGAUAUCGGGAAGAACACCAAUGGCGAAGGCAGGUCUCUGGGCCGUCACUGACGCUGAGGAGCGAAAGCGUGGGGAGCGAACAGGAUUAGAUACCCUGGUAGUNCACGCCGUAAACGGUGGAUGCUGGAUGUGGGGACCAUUCCACGGUCUCCGUGUCGGAGCCAACGCGUUAAGCAUCCCGCCUGGGGAGUACGGCCGCAAGGCUAAAACUCAAAGAAAUUGACGGGGGCCCGCACAAGCGGCGGAGCAUGCGGAUUAAUUCGAUGCAACGCGAAGAACCUUNCCUGGGCUUGACAUGUUC